GAGUUUGAUCGUGGCUCAGAGUGAACGCUGGCGGCAGGCCUAACACAUGCAAGUCGAACGGCAGCACAGUCCCGCAAGGGAUGGGUGGCGAGUGGCGGACGGGUGAGGAAUACAUCGGAAUCUACCUUGUCGUGGGGGAUAACGUAGGGAAACUUACGCUAAUACCGCAUACGACCUACGGGUGAAAGCGGCGGACCGCAAGGCGUCGCGCGAUUGGAUGAGCCGAUGUCCGAUUAGCUAGUUGGCGGGGUAAGAGCCCACCAAGGCGACGAUCGGUAGCUGGUCUGAGAGGAUGAUCAGCCACACUGGAACUGAGACACGGUCCAGACUCCUACGGGAGGCAGCAGUGGGGAAUAUUGGACAAUGGGCGCAAGCCUGAUCCAGCCAUGCCGCGUGUGUGAAGAAGGCC
rnacentral:rRNA from 1 species